rnacentral:rRNA from 1 species
GACGAACGCUGGCGGCGUGCUUAACACAUGCAAGUCGAGCGGUAAGGCCUUUCGGGGUCCACGAGCGGCGAACGGGUGAGUAACACGUGGGUGAUCUGCCCUGCACUUCGGGAUAAGCCUGGGAAACUGGGUCUAAUACCGGAUAUGACCUCCUAUCGCAUGGUGGGUGGUGGAAAGAUUUAUCGGUGCAGGAUGGGCCCGCGGCCUAUCAGCUUGUUGGUGGGGUAAUGGCCUACCAAGGCGACGACGGGUAGCCGACCUGAGAGGGUGACCGGCCACACUGGGACUGAGACACGGCCCAGACUCCUACGGGAGGCAGCAGUGGGGAAUAUUGCACAAUGGGCGAAAGCCUGAUGCAGCGACGCCGCGUGAGGGAUGACGGCCUUCGGGUUGUAAACCUCCUUCAGCAGGGACGAAGCGCAAGUGACGGUACCUGCAGAAGAAGCACCGGCUAACUACGUG